rnacentral:lncRNA from 1 species
CUCCCAUACUCCUUGAACAAAGGAUGAAAGACCAUUCUAUGUCUGAUUUACCAACCAAACAGUCAAUAGCCAGUCUACCAAUAUCUAUAAUGAAAGUUUCCUUGCCAUGGCCACACUCAUUCCAAGUUACCUGAAAAUUGUAUAAUUUCCUCCAAUACUCCAAUCUUUAUAACAAAAUUUAGAAUUCCAAUAUUAAGUGAAGAACUAAUUGACCCAAAAACCACUUAAU